GGUCAGAUGGCCGAGCGGUCUAAGGCGCCAGACUAAGGUGUCAAAUCGUGAAGGAUGCCAACUAAUCUGGUCUCUUCGGGGGCGUGAGUUCAAAUCUCACUCUGAUCA